rnacentral:tRNA from 1 species
GGAGAGAUGGCUCAGUGGUUAAGAGCACUGGAUGUUUUUGGAGAGGACCUGGGUUCAAUUCCCAGCAUCUACA